rnacentral:rRNA from 1 species
GAGUUUGAUCCUGGCUCAGAACGAACGCCGGCGGCAGGCCUAACACAUGCAAGUCGAGCGCUGUAGCAAUACAGAGCGGCGCACGGGUGAGUAACACGUGGGAACGUGCCCUUUGGUUCGGAAUAACUCAGGGAAACUUGAGCUAAUACCGGAUGAGCCCUAACGGGGAAAGAUUUAUCGCCGAAGGAGCGGCCCGCGUCUGAUUAGGUAGUUGGUGAGGUAACGGCUCACCAAGCCGACGAUCAGUAGCUGGUCUGAGAGGAUGAUCAGCCACACUGGGACUGAGACACGGCCCAGACUCCUACGGGAGGCAGCAGUGGGGAAUAUUGGACAAUGGGCGCAAGCCUGAUCCAGCCAUGCCGCGUGAGUGAAGAAGGCCUUCGGUUG